rnacentral:ncRNA from 1 species
UCAAUGGUGGUUCGCAAAAAUCCCACCAAAUAAAAAACUAGAAAGAG